rnacentral:rRNA from 1 species
UACGAAGGGGGCUAGCGUUGCUCGGAAUCACUGGGCGUAAAGGGUGCGUAGGCGGGUCUUUUAAGUCAGGGGUGAAAUCCUGGAGCUCAACUCCAGAACUGCCUUUGAUACUGAGGAUCUUGAGUUCGGGAGAGGUGAGUGGAACUGCGAGUGUAGAGGUGAAAUUCGUAGAUAUUCGCAAGAACACCAGUGGCGAAGGCGGCUCACUGGCCCGGUACUGACGCUGA